UACAGAGGUCUCAAGCGUUGUUCGGAUUCAUUGGGCGUAAAGGGCGCGUAGGCGGCUCGGCACGUCCGUUGUGAAAUCGCCCGGCUCAACUGGGCGGGGUCAGCGGAUACGGUGUGGCUCGAGCAAGCUAGGGGGCAAUGGAAUUCCCGGUGUAGUGGUGGAAUGCGUAGAUAUCGGGAGGAACACCAGUGGCGAAGGCGGUUGCCUGGAGCUUUGCUGACGCUGAGGCGCGAAAGCGUGGGGAGCGAUCCGG
rnacentral:rRNA from 1 species